rnacentral:rRNA from 1 species
GUUUGAUCCUGGCUCAGAGCGAACGUUAGCGGCAGGCUUAACACAUGCAAGUCGAGCGACAAAGGGGCUUCGGCCCUGAGUAGAGCGGCGGACGGGUGCGUAACACGUGGAUAAUCUGCCUCGUGGCGGGGGAUAACAGUCCGAAAGGACUGCUAAUACCGCAUGUCAGGUCGGAAACCCCGGUUUCUGACGAAAAGAGGGCGCCCGCAAGGGGCUCUCACCACGAGAUGAGUCCGCGGCCCAUCAGCUAGUUGGCGGUGUAAUAGACCACCAAGGCUAAGACGGGUAGCUGGUCUGAGAGGAUGACCAGCCACACUGGGACUGAGACACGGCCCAGACUCCUACGGGAGGCAGCAGUGGGGAAUAUUGGACAAUGGGCGAAAGCCUGAUCCAGCCAUGCCGCGUGAGUGAUGAAGGGUCUUCGGAUCGUAAAGCUCUGUGGAGGGACGAAAAGACUAACCUAA